AUUGAACGCUGGCGGCAUGCCUUACACAUGCAAGUCGAACGGUAACGGGCCUUCGGGUGCCGACGAGUGGCGAACGGGUGAGUAAUACAUCGGAACGUGCCCGAUCGUGGGGGAUAACGAGGCGAAAGCUUUGCUAAUACCGCAUACGAUCUACGGAUGAAAGCAGGGGACCGCAAGGCCUUGCGCGGACGGAGCGGCCGAUGGCAGAUUAGGUAGUUGGUGGGAUAAAAGCUUACCAAGCCGACGAUCUGUAGCUGGUCUGAGAGGAUGAUCAGCCACACUGUGACUGAGACACGGCCCAGACUCCUACGGGAGGCAGCAGUGGGGAAUUUUGGACAAUGGGCGCAAGCCUGAUCCAGCCAUGCCGCGUGCAGGAUGAAGGCCUUCGGGUUGUAAACUGCUUUUGUACGGAACGAAAAGCCUUCUUUUAAUACAGGAGGGUCAUGACGGUACCGUAAGAAUAAGCACCGGCUAACUACGUG
rnacentral:rRNA from 1 species